UUCACAACAGUUCUGUUACCCUGCUGCUGCAGCCAAUGCAGAUCCGAAUGCCGUGGCUACAAAGGCUUGUUACUUUCUCAUGCUGGAUCCCUCAAAUCCAAGAGCUACUUGGCAGUUUCCAAGGCAACCACCUGUGGAAUAAUUAAAAAGGUUGAAGUGUUAGUAUGCCAGAUAGAAGGAAUUCUUGCCUGGAGAGAGCACUUCAUUUUCAUCUGCCUUGAAGAAUCAAAUGUGUUUCUGCCAGCAAAGUUAAGGAGAAGAAAUGGUGACUGAGUUAUACACGUGAACCAGGACAAUCCAAAAAGGACAGGUGCAGGAAGCUACUACAGGAGAGGAGGUUUACUAACUUUUUCAAGACUUGGGAUUACACAAAGGAGCAGUAUAUUUUAGAUGCUACGGAGAAAGUUCAGAACAACAUGGUCGAAAGAUUCUGAGGACAAACCCUGUCAAUAAUGAAUUGUUCCAGAAAUAUAUUGGAGAAAAUUGUACAUGGUGGAGGCUGCUUUUUCUGAGGCUGAAACUCAUCUCAACUCCUCAUGACCAGCUGAGCAAGGGAGAUGUGAUUUGAUGCUAUCCAAGGUGUAAUUCCACAGUUCAUGUCUUUUGCUAGUGCCAGUUUAAUAAGUUUCUGCCUACUCCCAGCCAUUCAUUUCCAGCUCAGCAGCAAUGCAGUGCCAUCUCUUUCCUGACCGUGUGGGAAAGCAGAUGACUGAAAAUAUCU